rnacentral:rRNA from 1 species
UGGGCGUAAAGGGCUCGUAGGCGGUUUGUUGCGUCGGGAGUGAAAUCACCAGGCUUAACUUGGUGCUUGCUUUCGAUACGGGCAGACUAGAGGUAUGCAGGGGAGAAUGGAAUUCCUGGUGUAGCGGUGAAAUGCGCAGAUAUCAGGAGGAACACCGGUGGCGAAGGCGGUUCUCUGGGCAUUACCUGACGCUGAGGAGCGAAAGUGUGGGGAGCGAACAGG